ACUUCUUUUGAAAUGCUUGUUCAACAGGAUGCACACUUUCUUUUGAAACAGGUUUAGAAGUCCCACAGAUUCACUUGAAAUACUUGAUUGAACUAUAUGUUGAUGAUCAUCAUCUUUAUUUACUAGAGAUUGUUCUGCUUCUCUCUAUAGGUGCGUGGCACAUGCAUUAUUUGAUUUGUUGAACAAAUUGUUCAAGUCUUAAGUGUGCAUGAAGCUCUUUUAAUUUCUCCAUA
rnacentral:lncRNA from 1 species